rnacentral:rRNA from 1 species
GACGAACGCUGGCGGCGUGCUUAACACAUGCAAGUCGAACGGAGCUUGUUGGAUAGAGACUUCGGUCAAUUGAAUUCAAGCUUAGUGGCGGACGGGUGAGUAACGCGUGAGGAACCUGCCUUUCAGAGGGGGACAACAGUUGGAAACGACUGCUAAUACCGCAUGAUGCAUAGGAGUCGCAUGGCUCUUAUGCCAAAGAUUUAUCGCUGAAAGAUGGCCUCGCGUCUGAUUAGCUAGUUGGUGAGGUAACGGCCCACCAAGGCGACGAUCAGUAGCCGGACUGAGAGGUUGAACGGCCACAUUGGGACUGAGAUACGGCCCAGACUCCUACGGGAGGCAGCAGUGGGGAAUAUUGGGCAAUGGGCGCAAGCCUGACCCAGCAACGCCGCGUGAAGGAAGAAGGCUUUCGGGUUGUAAACUUCUUUUAAGAGGGAAGAGUAGAAGACGGUACCUCUUGAAUAAGCCACGGCUAACUACGUG